rnacentral:lncRNA from 1 species
GACAAACUAAUGCAACAAGGUGGGUCCUUUUUUAUUUUUUUUAUUUUCUUAUUUUUGUAGUAAAGGGAAUUGCCCCUUUUAAACAAAAUUUAUUUUAAAGGUAUAGCCGGGCGGCUAUACUUCGAAUUUUUUUCUUCUACAGGUAUAGCUAUACUUAUUGUCUGACACGUGGCGCGUUAGCCAAAGAGGGUCAUCAUUUUUUAAAAAAAAUAAUAAAAAUAGUACAGCCGCACGGCUAUACUCCGUGUUUUUUAAUUUAUUUAAAAAUAAAACUGAGUUGACACGUGGCGAAAAAUAGAUGGAGGUCCCCUCUUUUUUUUAUAUUGAAAAUAAUAUAGGCGCGCGGCUAUACUCAUUUUUUUAAAUUCUUUUUAACCGAUCAGUUUUGUAUGGCCGGGCGGCUAUACUUAUUGUUUGACACGUGGCGCGCUAGAGGGUCAUCCUUUUUUAAAAAAAUUAAUAAAAAUAGUACAGCCGAACGGCUAUACUCUUUGUUUUUUAAUUUAUUUUAAAAAUAAAACUCUGUUGACACGUGGCGACAAAUAGACGGAGGUUUCCUCUUUUUUUAUAUUAAAAAUAGUAUAGCCGCGCGGCUAUACUCAUUAUUUUAAAUUCUUUUUAACCGAUCAGUUAUGUUAUUUAGUAUAUAGUAUAGCCGUGCGGCUAGACUCGAUUUUUGUCUAGUUUCUUUUAAAAAUAGUACAGCCGGGAGGUUUUACUGUUUUUUUUAUAUAAAAACAUUGUCUUUAAUAAAUAGUAUAGACGAGCGGCGAUGGUCUUUUACAUAUACACACACACACAUAUAUAUAUAUAUAUAUAUUUACGUACGUACGUAUUUUUUAAUAAUAGAUUCGUGUUCUAUACACGUCUCACUUUUUUUAAAAGCAAACAUACAAUAGUCGUAUUGUACUUGUGCGUACGUAUUUUUAAUAUUUUAUACACGUAUUGUUUUCAAAAUUUCCAACAAUACGCACAAAAUUCGCUUAUCAUACAAAUAAUUCUCAUAUAUUAAUGAAUAAGAAUAACAUAUGUUAUAAAACUUACAUGAAAAUAUCAUAUAGUGGAAGAUUAAUAUCUACUUUGGAUAUGUUGAAACUAGAAAAUUAAUAUUUAAACGGGACAAACUAAUGCAACAAGGUGGGUCCUUUUUUAUUUUUUUUAUUUUCUUAUUUUUGUAGUAAAGGGAAUUGCCCCUUUUAAACAAAAUUUAUUUUAAAGGUAUAGCCGGGCGGCUAUACUUCGAAUUUUUUUCUUCAACAGGUAUAGCUAUACUUAUUGUCUGACACGUGGCGCGUUAGCCAAAGAGGGUCAUCCUUUUUUAAAAAAAUUAAUAAAAAUAGUACAGCCGAACGGCUCUACCCCGUGUUUUUUAAUUUAUUUUAAAAAUAAAACUGUGUUGACACGUGGCGAAAAAUAGAUGGAGGUUU